rnacentral:rRNA from 1 species
UACGGGGGGAGCAAGCGUUGUUCGGAUUUACUGGGCGUAAAGGGCGCGUAGGCGGCCUCCGCAAGUCAGUUGUGAAAUCUCCGAGCUUAACUCGGAAAGGUCAACUGAUACUGCGGGGCUAGAGUGCGGAAGGGGCAACUGGAAUUCUUGGUGUAGCGGUGAAAUGCGUAGAUAUCGGGAGGAACACCAGAGGCGAAGGCGGGCUACUGGGCUGAUACUGACGCUGAUGCGCGAAAGCCAGGGGAGCAAACGGG